UACGGGAGGCGCAGUGGGGAAUAUUGCACAAUGGGCGAAAGCCUGAUGCAGCUAUGCCGCGUGUAUGAAGAAGGCCUUAGGGUUGUAAAGUACUUUCAUCGGGGAGGAAAAACAAAACUAAUAAUUUUAUUUCUUGACGUUACCCGAAAAAGAAGCACCGGCUAACUCCGUGCCAGCAGCCGCGGUAAUACGGAGGGUGCUAGCGUUAAUCAGAAUUACUGGGCGUAAAGAGCACGUAGGUGGUUUUUUUAAAGUCAGAUGUGAAAUCCCUGGGCUUAACCUAGGAACUGCAUUUUGAAACUGAAAUACUAGAGUAUCGUAGAGGGAGGUAGAAUUCUAGGUGUAGCGGUGAAAUGCGUAGAUAUCUGGAGGAAUACCUGUGGCGAAAGCGGCCUCCUAAACGAAUACUGACACUGAGGGUGCGAAAGCGUGGGGAGCAAACAGGGAUUAGAUACC
rnacentral:rRNA from 1 species